CAGACUUGGUAGAAUCUUGACUCAGGAUGUAUCGACAGAUAGAUCUUACAUUCUGCAAUCGAAAUAAUGUAGGAGCUGCCUUAAAAUUUUUAGCUCAGGAGUUGAACUUCAGAGGAUAUCCAGGGUUACCAAAGUACACAGAAUCAGAGAAUGAAUCAGACGUCAUGGUUUGCUUUAAUCAAUAAUCUUUGGAUUGCAACAAGGCAGCAAGAAGCAUGUAAGCAAGAGAGAGAAGAUUUGCACGCAGAAAUCAGUGAACUGACUGAUUGUAAUAAGAAACUAAAUGCCUCAAAAUUGCACGGAAAACUAGAGUCUUUCAGCAAUCAAUUUAUUCACAACAUCAGAAAACGAGACAAUGAAAUUGAUCGAUUGCAAAAUUUAAUCGCAUCUGAUGCUUGCAGAGAGCUUUACUGUGGAGUUUCUGGUGAGCUGAAGGAAAAAUUUGAAAAGUAUAAAGAAGAAAGACUGAAAAAAAUGAUAGGACCUGAUGUGGAAAAGGACUACAUCAAAAGCAUACGAAUCUUGGAGAAGAAUAUCCAAGACUUGGUGGUAGAAAAUGUCUGCUGGCGGCAAGCAAUGAAAACGCAAUACCUACAAAUAAUUUCUGUCCUUCUACCAGAGGAAGGUAGCGGAGAUGCUAUUGAAGCUGGACUGAAUUUUGAUCUUCCAUAUGAAAACUUUAUUCGAAUAUUCCACAAACAGUGGCUGCUUAUAAUCAAGAGGAUUACGUUGUUGAUGGAAUGCCGAGCCGAUGAACUGAAACUGCUUAUGAAAAAUGACAAUGACCAAACUGUAGCUCAGUCAAAUUGAUUCUGAAGCCGCUAACCAGCAAAAAAUAUCACAACAACUUGGAAAUCCGAGUUUCAAGUCUGACGAUUGACGUACCAUAUCUUCAUUGAACGUUGCAAAUUUUCAAUUGAUGAAUGGUCCCAAGUCAGCUAUUAAUGAGUGUGCAGUAGCAGCCUUUAGCAAUGAUCAUUUUUCUAAGACAAGAACUCUUAUUUGAAGGAAUGUGGAGAGUUAUUGAUACUCCUAAGAAAAGGUAAAUAUAUUGAUCUUAUCAAACCAACGAAAGAUUUUUUUUUUUUUUCAUUGAUAGGCACAGGGAGAAUAUUUUAUCAAAUUUUUCUCUUCAACCUCAUUCUCAGUUCGAAUACAUUUUGUAAUAAAGAACUAUUAUUUCUGGCUUAUCCACAAAUACAGUAACACACCCAUCUAAUUUCUAAAAUGAGCUAGAAGCAUGGAGUUCCUCAUUGCAGAAUGCGUUCUGUUUGUGAUUUUCCACAGGACACAAUGUUCAUUAAAAAGUUGAGAAAAAUCAUUUCUAAGGAAAAAAAGCUGAUCAAAAUCGGUCCAAUCAACAGCCAACUGUCAAGUUGGGGCAAGGUGAUAUCUAAAGAUAAGUUUAGCCAAUUAGCAAACGACUUUUCCCUUGCCUGGCUUUGUCAUCAGCAGCUGCCAAAAAUAUUGUUUUAAGUGUAUCUCAUGUUGGCAUUUUUUUAACAAAGUUCCUUAGCAAUCUAGGGUUAAAGCAAUCUGAAGGGAAAAAAUUCUGGAAGCCUAGUUCAUGUAGUACUUUUAGAAAAUGAAAAAAAUGACUGCCAUUGACCCACUGUCCUCUCUGUUGAUUUUGAAUUGUUGCCUUCUUUUAUCUGCCGCAGAUUAUUCUAGCAUGGAUCCAGAAAAUCAGGUGUAAACUCCAGCCAGAAUUUCUAGACUCAACAUCCCAUCCUGUUCUAAG
rnacentral:lncRNA from 1 species